CUCAUCAUUAAAAACUUGGAUUUUUUUCUAAAACACAUCAGCAUGUAUGUGUGUGUGUGUAUACACGUACACCUCCUGUGUGUGCACAAGGACUCUGAUCUGGUGCCACUACAGAUCCAGAGUUGUCAUUUUGAGUCCCCAUAGACCAGCGGAAUACUUGUGCCAUGGAAAGUGCUCGGCAUGCAGAAAUGCCUCGGGGGCUCCCACCGGGCGCCCGGAGAGGGAGUUCUGAGUCACCCUAAAACACAUAGGCUGAAAUCCUGACUCCCAGAGCUCAGGAGGUUCUGGGGUCACAGGGGGCUUCUCAUGAAUGAGGUUGGUGUCCUUGCAAAAGAGGCCCAGGAACCAGGUAUUCCUUACCGUGGGAGGACAUAGCACACAGCGCCACCUGUGGGCCAGGAAACGCCCUCACCAGACCGGAGUCACGGGCACUGCUCAUGGACUUCAGGCCCCCACACUGUGAGAAGCGUCUGCUUCUGAGCUACACAGUGGAAGGUGCGUGGCUAUAGCAGCUGAGUGGAGGGAGCCAGGGCCUUUCCCGCGCUCACUCCCCUCACACAUAGGUUCUAGGCCAUAGGAGUGUGAGGGAAAACUCAGUAAAGACGAGAAGAUCUUACUCUUCUAGAAAAGUUAUGCAGGCACCGAGACAGCCAGACCUGAAAGACCACCUGCAGGUCGCUGAAGGAGAUGCGAGAAGCUCAGAAAGGAAACUGACCAAGAGAAAUCCAGUACAGCGUGAGGCACCCCUGCAUCCUAAGGGUCAUAGGCAAAGCUCUCUCAACCGUGAAAAAGGGUUAGAUUUAUGAAAUAAGAACAGGGGCCAGGAAGCAGAGCGGGGAGGGGGGGAGCCACAGUGAAGAUGCCCCCUUCCAGGGCACGGCUCCAGGACCCACCACCUCCCGUCACCCACCUGCCUGCUGUCACCACCGAGUCAGCCCAUUCGAUGAUCAGUCCUUCAAGUGGAUCAGUCUACUACUCAGGGGACAGGUCUGACCAUUUGUGUUGCCUCUGCACACCCUGCACUAGCAGGAGUUCCGGGAGGUGUAUAUCCCGAUCCUGACCCAUAGCAAUGGGGAAAUCUGAGUAUUUGAAUAUGAAAAUAUGGCCUAAUCAUCACUAUUAAAAUUUCAUUCCAUUUUGAGUAAACCGUACAAGGUGACUUGAAGCAAUCGAUGAGCUGGAGGUGUGAGAAGUGACACAAUACACAGCAAAAAGGCAUCCAGAAGGGAACGCAGACCCAGAGACGUGAGUGACACCAUUAAAAUCCCGGCAACCUCCAGAUGAGCCCCAAGGGAGAAGGGGUGGAGGUCGGGAGAAUGCCCAGGGUGAAGAGCCCCCAGGCCUGCACCGGACCUGGCCCAGCACCCACAGCCCCUCCCUGCCCAUGGGGGGCACUGGGGCUUGAGGAGAGGCCACGGCUGCGCAGAGCCUGGUGGCAGGAGCCUUCCUGGCAGCAAUGCCCGGGGAGAACGGCCGGGGCAGCCCGCUCCAGGCCGAAGGGAAAGGACACUGCUUUCCUUACAUCAGGACCUUUAAACCAGCCAGAGCGUCCAAGAAACAAGAUAAGAAUGGCUCUGCUCACAGGACACGGGCCAGUCGAUCCCAGCAGGGUCUACUCACAGCCCCGUUCUGGCUUUAAAUUUUUUACACAUCUCUUGGCUUGUGGGCUGCAUCUGAUGCCUGCCUCCUGGGGCAGUGGGCACAGCUGUUAGGACUGAGGAAAGGGGAUGCGGUCAUAGAGAUGGGCCCAGGCAGAGGCGAAGCACAGUGGUUAGACAACAGAAGGGAGGGGGAGUGCCAGGCCUGUCAGAUCCCAGGGUAGAGAGAUUCUAAAAGAAUCAAGGGCAGGUGGAGGCUCCCUGAAGUCCGGAGAGGAAGAGAACUGAUAUCAUGAAGCAGUCGAGGAGACUUCAUGCCAAGUGACACCAAGUUCAGUUGUGGAAACUAAGAGGAAACAGAACCCAACUUGUUUUCUGGAUAAAAAAUAUAUUCAAAAGGAAAAGGGGACAAAAGAAACCGAAGGGCAGAUGGACAGGCGGAUGGACACAGUCGGCUCAGGGGGAGACCUGAGCGUUGCAUCUGAGGGCCCUCUUGCCCCCAGUCAUCUGCUGGCACGCCGGCAGGUGCCACCCCGUGGGCAGUUGCACCCAUGCCAAGACUCGUGGGGACUCUGGUUUUCUAUUUCAAGCAGGGGGCAGUGGAGAGUGGUGGUCCCGGGUGGUCCCUGCGGCCAUUGACUCGCCUCCAAACACCCGCGUCCUGGAACGGCGGCAUUGUGCCGAGCGCAAGGAGUCAAGGUGCCCCUAGAUGUGGAGGCUGUGCCAGGCUGAGGAACGUCACUGCAGAGCCGAGUCACAUGUGAGGAGCUGUCACCGAGCUAUCACUACGGCAGGCUCCGAGGCAUUGGCACCUGCUGACUUACGUGGCCUGUGCUCCCUCAGGCAGGUGGCAUCCCAUCCGUGCCCUGGAUGUGGGGCCUCACCGAGGAGCUGCCCGAGAGCCCCACAGAGCUCCCUGCGCCCGCUCUCCCAGCCCCACACGGAGAAGACAGGACAGUGCCGGGACGCAGAACCAGGGCCAUGCACAGGGCGGGUCAGGGUCAGGACUAUCCCCAGUCGUUCAGGUUGGAUCUGGGGGACCCUGAGAUGUCUUCUUUCCAGGUAGUACGGAAGGCAGAGAUACUCACGUAGGAAACAUUCCUGGGACUGUGAACAUCUAUGGCAAUAUUUUAUUUUUAUUAAUUUGUCUUCAGUAUUUUUAUUUGGGGAAUUCAUGAACAAAAGUAUUUCUAGCAGAGUUGAUGGGAGGUGACGUAGUAGAGAAAGUUGGUCCACUCAGCCCACAGGUGUUCACUGGGCGCUGUGUCGGGCCGCCAGGCCUCUGCCAGGCCAGAGCCAGGAAGAUGGACAGGUGCCGGCCUCACAGAGCCGACCCGGAGAAGUCAGUCCGAACAGUCCCCUCAACAGUGACCCAGCAGGGCACGCGAAGUGCUUGAAACAAGGAGAAGGGCUGCGGCAGGGCAGGCGUGGAGGGCCCUGGCUGUGGAGGGCGCUGGCCCUGAGGGCACCCGGAGCCGGCAGAGCCCGGAGAGGGCGCUGCAGACCAGUGGCUCCGAGCAGAAGCCCUCGCCUCUGCAGGAAAGGGGCUGUGCGUUAAAUCAGGCCCAGGUGUGGACACGGUCCGCGAAGAGCGGCCGCGGCCAGGUUUGUCCUGGACCCUGGUUGACGUUCAUGGAAACUGACUAUGGAGGGAAAGCUCUCUGUGGAACGUGCCCAGACGCGGCCGAGCUGCAGGAGACUGUUUCCCUUUUCUGCUGACGUUUCAGAGCUUUAGACGAGUUCCUUACGAGAGUCACAGCAGUGACAGCAAGGACAAGAGGUGGACACUGGCCAAGGGUGAGAGUCCUUGAGUCCCACGUAGCUCUUACCAUUAAAAAUAAAAGAAUUCUCUUGGAAGUUUCCAGCAGACUCAGCUGAAUCCUAGCAACUGUGAAGGUCACAGAUCACCAUGCCUAUUUUUUUAAUCCAAGUGUAUUUCAGUGACUGCAAAAAAUCUAGGUUGACAUGUAACAGAUUGAAUCCUACUUGGGAGCUUUCAGCAGGAGAUUAGUGUGCAGUUAAUUGACUUUCAGCCUGAAUUAGUGUGAUCUCUUCUACAUUAAACGGACGUGCACAAGACCCGCAUGCAGCGGUAUCACCACAGGAUUACUUUACUAUGUAUAGGCAUUUUGCAUUUUAAAAGGCCUUAUGAAAACAUGUGCCUCUUUACACGACCUUUCAUAACUGAUUCCAGCUGCGGCCUGCCAACCAAUUGUAAUGCUUGUUUUCUUAACAAGAAACUUCCCUUUCUUGGAGCAAGAAUGCUUGGUGCAUUAAGUGAUUAGAGCGAUUAAGUCCUGAGCAAACUCACCAAGCCUGCUCCUCUGAGACCCAGCACGGCCAUAGAAUGAGCCAUGGCAGUGCUCCUGGGAUGAGUGUCUGCACAGCCUCCGUCUCUGCAGAAAGGAAGUGUGGGCAUCAGGACUGGCACUCUCCAGCACACCACACCUCCAGGUGGCCUGAGCCAGGCCCUGCAUGGUGGCCAUCAGGACGGCGGGACAGCCUGACGGAGGGGAGCCGGUCCAGACCUGGGCACCUAGCUCCUCCUGGGCUCCUGAGGCCUCACGUGCUGUCCGAGGCACGGAACAGCACGCUCUCACGGGAGUGGCCUCCCAGCCUUGAGUGUGCGCAGCAGGUGCCGGCUUUGGCGGAAAGCGCUCAGUAUCGAAGCAGAAGUGACCGGCAGGUGCCAGGGGCAGAGGGUGUUCUCCUCCAUGGAGGUGGAGGAGUGUGGUGCUGCUCACGGGGAGCAAAGACAGAGACGAGGAGCUCCUGCCACAGGUCACGGAGCCACAGGAAAGGACCAGCACGGGGAGGGGGCCCGGGGAGGGGACUGGUGCAGAGUCCUGGGGUCCCAAGGCCCACUGAAGAGGAGGAGGAAGGGCUCAGUCUUUCCUGGGAACAGAGAAGACCCAAGGCAGUGCCAUGGUCCCGAUAGAGGUGGUCUCCUUCCUUGGAGCCUGUGUGGCUGCAGAGACCGGCUGCACCCCUUCUCUGGGGCUGGCCACUCCUGCGGCUCCUCACCUAGAGCGCCCCCAUCUCUCCACUAACUAACGCAGGCUUCCAUCCGCAUCCUACCUGCAGAGGGCGUGGGGUCGGCUGCUGGUGCAGGCUCGUGCUCUGGUGCUACGUGGGACCGGGCGCGUCUCUCCUGGGAACAGGAGGAAGACGUCGUGGAAGCGGUUGGUGGAGACCUGCCGGAUGUAGGUGCUGACGUUCCCCCUCUAGCUUGCAGGGUAGACUCAAGCCCCGCUGGACAGAGGUGAAGAAUUGUGGACAUGGGGCACUUGGCAGGGCUCUGGGUGGGAGAGGUGUGGCUUGGGCCACCUGAUGGCUGACGGUGGACAUUCAGUGCGAGGAUCGUCCCGUGCCCCCCAGGCUCCAGUGCCCACCACCAGCUGAGCCGCACCGGCCCCUGGUGGGCUGGCGACAUGGCACAGGCUGCUCCCACGGUGGCACCAAGAAUGGAGCAGGGGCUGACAAGCCAGCAGAGCAGCAGCACGCAGACUGACUGACCACAGGAAAAGGCCGGAUGUGAAGCACAGCUCCCCAGCUCUGCCUGCACAGUGUGGGCCAAGAGCCUGUGACGGCAUGAACUUCCACCCGCUCCGUUGCUGCCGUCGUCACCUCCCGUUCCCCAAGCCCACGGUCGUCAGAAGCUGGGUGCCGUGUCUUCACUGGCACUGAGCUCUGCCCAGGUCUUUGCCACAGGUGUGUCACAUCAGCGACUCUUGGCUGCCGUGAGCGAGGUGGCCCCAGCAACAGAACUGAGCCGUGUCCAGCUCUGGGGGCAGGAGGCUCAAGGGUAACCUCCCAUCCUGUGGCCAAGAGUAGUCAGCAGACGCUCCCUAAGGGACAUCAUUGUGUGUGCCCAAGCCCAGCAGCACACGUGGCUGACAAGCUGCUGGCAGCUGAGAAGUUCCACAUGGGGCUGGACAGUGGGGUCACCAGUAUCACAGGGUCACAGGCUGCUGGCAGGAAGGGCUGAUGGUGGUCCUUGGGAUCCAGGCGUGGUGAACAAAUGGCCCCCAAUGUCCAUACCCAAAUUCCUGGAUUUCACGAGUGUUGUGUUGUGUGAGGGAUGACCUUGGUAUAAUCAAGAUGGGGCACCUUAAAAUAGGCAGUUAUCCUGGACUACCUAGAGGGCCCCGUCCGACCACAUGAGCCUUUGAGGGCAGAGAAGUUUCCUGGCUGGAAGCGACAGAAGUGAGGCAGGGGGUCAGCAAGAGCUGAGGCCAAGAGCCCAGCCCACUCUGCUGGCUUUAAAGGUGGAGGGGCCAGAACACGUGGUGUCCCUCAUGCUGAGAAGGAGCCCCAGCUGAUGGACAGGGAGCACACAGAGCCUCUCCCACCACCACAGCCUGAGUGAGCAUCCUGCCGAGAACCAGCCAACUGGCUCCGUAUUUCAAACCAGAGCAGGAAACCCAUGAGGCCAGUCCAAGAGCUGACUGCAGACGGGGACAGUACAUUUGUGCUGUCUCUGUUGCUAGACGGAUGCUAACUUGCUACAGCAGCAACAGUGAGCACUAGGUGUCCACUGCCUUUAGUACCAGAGGUGAGGUCGGCUUUAACGUCCCUCCCGGCACCCUCACUGACACUUCUGCAGGGCCUGGGGUCAGGCGGGCAGCACGUGCCUCGUGGUCUGCUCCAGGACUGAGCUCCUGUUUCUACUUGGUGUCUUGUGGAGUGCUGGCUAUUGGACUGGUGGCACUGGCCCUCUGCUUUUGCCCAGCAAGGAACAUGCUAGGAAGGCCUGCCACAGGACAAGCCACCUGUGGUGGGCCCAUGUCACCUCUCUGUAGACCAGUGGGCAGCCUGCCCCUGCCCAGCGGGCCUAGCCAGGACCAGCCCUGCCUGAUGCUCCAGAGCUGGAGCAGCAAGCACCCCUGCGUGUCACCAAGGUCUGGACAUCACUUGUCUCGUGUCACCAUGGUGGCACCAGGUCAGGCACAGUGGCCUGAAGGGAUUUGGGUCCGGCCGUCAGUGGCUUUACUCUUCUGGCUUUCUCCCGCCCCAGCCGACGUUCCAACCUCAGUUAGCAGGCUCCUCUCUCCUCCUCCCACUCACUCAGUCAGCUUUGACUUCCUAAUAUUAGGGGCUUCUCCUGUCCUGAAUCAGAGGCAGCUCUUCAGGUGCAAGUCCUCUGGGGAAUCAGGCCAGGACUCCUCCAUUGAGGGUGAACAUAGCAGAAGUCCACUGCUGUGGGCACCCUGAGUGGCCUCCUGCCCUCAGGAGCUUGGGUGCCGUGGAGUGGUCAGGGCGCCAGAAGGAGCUUCAGAACCAGGAGAAGAGACGGCUGUGGUCCUGGUCUCUCAGACACAGGCCUCCCCCACCUGUGCCCCUGACCACCAGUCCCAGACAGCCUCGCAGGACUCCAAAACACGUGCCACACACCCUCCAAGACGGCCGAGCCUGGCGAGGCUUUCCUCUGGCACCUGCAUCUUCACGUUGUCAUGGCUGAUGCCCAGUGGGCCCUGAAUGAAGGGGAGGGGGGCGGGAGGAGAGAGCGUGGGAGAGAACCUGCAUUCUGUUUCCGACCUCCCCCUCCUAGUCUUUAUCUUAACCUUGACGGAACAUUGAAGAUUUAAAAGGUAUAAAUAAGUCAAGUUUCUUAACACUCCUCACAGAACCAAGCUGUAAAUGUGGAAUGUACGAAUCACAGUGAGUGAGAACGUGAAGCUGCCAAGUCGGGAGUACAGAGUCCUCUGCCAUCUCCUGAGCACUGAGUCGUCAGAGUCCAUGACUCACAGGAUCAGCGGCAGUUCCCAGGCCCGAGACAGCACCACGGGAGGAAGGUCGGGGUGGAAAUAGGGGCGUGGUGCUCAAGUCGCUCUGACCGGCUCUUUGGCAGACUCCUGCUAGCAGUGACAAGCAUGAAGUAUCGAGGGUGACGUCCACUGUACUGACAGCACCCACCCUGCGGGGGUCCCUGGACUUCCAGGAUGCCUGUACUCGUUGGGGAUUGACGUGAUUUCUCUACGGCUCAGAGGCUCUAACUUUUACCUUCCUCAGGCGAGAGCACUUCCAACAGCCUUCGGGCCCGUGUUCAGUUCCCGACGUCUGCAUACGAAGUCCCGUGGUGCCACUUUAGAUGCCGUGUGUGGUGCCGGGCCUUGUCACGGCCGAGUGUCCACUGGGCUGGGGAGUACUCUUCGCCUCCAGAGGGAGGGAGGGACGCAAUGUGGCGUUCAAGCUCUUGCCUUGCGGCCUUACGCCCUGGAGCUCCCGCGGGGGUCUGGAUGGAGCUGAGGAGGAGACAGGGUCAGGAAAGCCGCCGUGCUCCCUGUGGACCAGUGUUUCAGGCUCUGCUCAGGGUUGAACCCUCUGGGUCUGCCAGUCACUGGCAGCCUGUCCCCUUUCUGUGACCCAGGACAUUCAUCUAGGUCUCUGUGGCCCUUGGAUCUUGUAGUGUUCUCCUUACUGUGCUGCCCUGAGCUCCUCGGAUGGGGACAGAGUCACCGACCUGUGAUCUCUACGUGUUUGCAGAGACUAGAAGGACGUUACAAGGACUUGCAGAACUGAAUUUGCUUUAAGUCACCAUUUCAGCGACUUUAUAGCAGUUUCCUACUGGGACAUUAUAAAACCCAAUAUCUGUUCUUAAAAUUCAUGAAGAGCUCUUAGUAACAUUUCUCCUUCCUUUUGAUCCUCCUUCAGUGUUUAAAAAUGAACUAAAGGACUUGACUUGGACUGCUGAGAUUCAAGAGCACGCACCACUCGUUUCUGUCUAGAAUUCAUAAUGAUGCAGAAGUUUUCCCUGUUAAACUGCUCCUGCCCACAGCCCUGUGUCCUGACUGGGUUUCCCUGGAUCUGGUUCUGGAGGUGGACAUUCAGAUCAUCUCCAGGUUCACUGUGACUCACGAGGACAUGAGCGUCCACAGACAAGGCCUUCUGUCAACACAGGGCAACGUGUAUGCAAUGUACGGUCAGCGGGAGCUGGUCAGCCUCCUUCUCUCUGCCCAGGCCGGCUCUCUGGGCUCCUCUGGAUUGAGGCCCGUGGCUGAGAGGCUGAGGUACCCUGUGGAUCAGGUUGCUUCGGGGUCUCCCACUGGGGCUGAGCGCUGGCUCCUACAGUGUCCCUCCUUGUAUUUGACUUUCAGGCCCACAGUUGGGUGGUGUUUCUGAGUCAGUGAAAUGGGACGUGCUCAUUCAAUCUGCUCUCUUGACUCGGUGGCUUCCCCUGGAAAUUAGAAGGUGACAGGCGAAGUCCUGUCCCCUGUUUACUGAUGAGAAUGCUCACACAACAAUUCUAGUGUGUACCUUCAUGUCUCUUCUCAUUUAUUUUAAUCCUUAGCUGUUCUGUGAAUGCAGAGUAUUUUCAUGCAACAAGCAAGUUGUCUUUGGAGUAAGAUUAUUAAAUCUAAUGAAGACAGUAAAUUGUUCUAGUAUAUUGGCUCUGAGGAACUAUUUAGA